AAGAACUCUACGUCAGGGAAGGCGGAGGAUCAAGUCCCGAGGUUGAAAGAAGUCACUGGUGUGGGAAAUUGCCACAGCCACCCCAACCUUUAGCAACUACCAUCGUGAUCAGUCAGCAGCCAUCAACAUUCAGGCAAGACCCUCUACCAGCAGAAGGAUUAUGAUGUACUGAAAGCUCAGAUGAUGGUUAGCAUUUUUCACCAAUAUUUUAAAAUUAAGAGCAAGCCGCAAGCCAUCCAUAGUCUCUGGCGUUAUUUGUACCAUUAAGCCAUCUAAUAAUGAGGGCACAAUAAAUAUUAUUCAACGAAAAGGAAAAGGUAUUUGGUUGGCAAUGCAGCAGGGCUUCUGGAAGAAAAGGAAGGUGAAAAAAGGAAGAUACAAGUGGCCUAGAACUGCCAUGGAAUUCUAUGAAGUCAACACAGACUUUGGAUUCUUCUAGUUUUUUACUCUAUCAUCUGUGGCCUCUAUUCUCAAGGUCACCUCAUGGUUCAAGAUGGAUCUUCAGCUCCAGCAAGAAGGAGGAAAAAGACAUGGUGGGUCAAAGGGUUCAAGUCAGCUAUUUUUUAAGGAAGGGUCUCUGAAGCUGCUACAAGAUACCCUUACUUAUAUCCAUUGAUUAGAACUUUAUUUCUUGACCACAUACAGUUGCAAAGGAAGAAUGGGGAAUAGUCUUCAUUUUGGGAACCCCUGUGCACAGCUGGAAAUCUAAUGGAAGAAUGGCUAUUGGAAGGAAUUAGCAGUUUCUGCCACCCUCUAUUUGAACCAUGGUGCCAUUGAGAGCUCCCUCCCCUUGUUGUGAGAACACAGUAAUAUUUUAUCAAACAGCAUGGAUCCGAGCAGGCUCGGAAUGAUUAUUGUAACUCCAGAAUAAAGGCUGAUUUUUAAUUGGAGCACACUAUUAAUGAUUACUUUGUCAGUGUUUAAUCUUUACCUGCAAAGUCAGAUACAAAACCUUUCCUCCCC